rnacentral:rRNA from 1 species
GUGGGGAAUCUUGCGCAAUGGGCGAAAGCCUGACGCAGCCAUGCCGCGUGAAUGAUGAAGGUCUUAGGAUUGUAAAAUUCUUUCACCGGGGACGAUAAUGACGGUACCCGGAGAAGAAGCCCCGGCUAACUUCGUGCCAGCAGCCGCGGUAAUACGAAGGGGGCUAGCGUUGCUCGGAAUUACUGGGCGUAAAGGGAGCGUAGGCGGACAUUUAAGUCAGGGGUGAAAUCCCGGGGCUCAACCUCGGAAUUGCCUUUGAUACUGGGUGUCUUGAGUAUGAGAGAGGUGUGUGGAACUCCGAGUGUAGAGGUGAAAUUCGUAGAUAUUCGGAAGAACACCAGUGGCGAAGGCGACACACUGGCUCAUUACUGACGCUGAGGCUCGAAAGCGUGGGGAGCAAACAGGA